CAAUAGCGUAUAUUAAAGUUGUUGCAGUUAAAAGCUCGUAGUUGGAUUUCCGGCGUGAGGGAUCAGUCUGACUUCUAGUCAGUACUUGGUCCUCUCAUGCCGUCCUUGAAUGGUGCAUCCUGGCAUUAAGUUGUCGGGCGGGGAGUACCCAUCGUUUACUGUGAAAAAUUAGAGUGUUUAAAGCAGGCUUAUGCCGUUGAAUAUAUUAGCAUGGAAUAAUAAGAUAGGACUUUGGAACUAUUUUGUUGGUUUGCGUUACAAAGUAAUGAUUAAUAGGGACAGUUGGGGGGUAUUCGUAUUUCGUUGUCAGAGGUGAAAUUCUUGGAUUUCCGAAAGACGAACUACUGCGAAAGCAUUUACCAAGGAUGUUUUCAUUAAUCAAGAACGAAAGUUAGGGGAUCGAAGAUGAUCAGAU
rnacentral:rRNA from 1 species